rnacentral:sRNA from 1 species
GCCGGGCAUAUUGACCAUGCCUGUAAUUCUAGCAACUUGGGAGGCUCAGGCAGGAGGACUGCAAGUUCAAGGGAAGCCUCAGCAACUUAGCAAGGCCCUAAGCAACAUAGUGAGACCCUGUCUCAA